UACAAAAUAAAACAAGACAAGAUAUGAUAGGCAAAACAAGAGGAGAAAUACCUAAGCACUAUAUGUGAAAAAUGUGGGGAUUUAGUUAUUUCUCCUCUUGUUUUGCCUAUCAUAUCUUGUCUUGUUUUAUUUUGUAU